AGCAGAAGCCAUAGAUUCCACGUUCAAGUAAACAAACAAAGAAAUAAAAGCGAAUUAGAGAGAGAGAGAGAGAGAGAUGAAAGCUGUCUCGUGAAGCAGCAGCUGAAGCCAAAAGAAAUAAAAGAUCUUUCUUUUCUCUCCUUAUCCCCUUUCUCUCUCUCUCUCUCUCUCUCCUUUCCUUCCAUUGACACUCGCAUUCAUUCUUUGCUUCCUCCUUUUAUAUUCACGAGAUCCCCAUCUCUCUCUGUGAUGUCUUCUUCAGAGACAUUUCUAGGUUUGUGUUUUCUACAUCGCUCGUUUACUAUUCUGUGUUGUGUUGCUUUAUUUGGUUUUCUAUUCCCAUUCACAGACAUUGCUUCGAGCUGUGAGGGUAGUGCUUGAGAAAUUAGCUGGGAAGGGGAUAUCAGAGGUUGAGAUACAAAGAGCUUUCAUUUUGUUUGGCUGCUGAGAAAAUGUCGUAUUCCGGGAAGCCCAAUGAGGAAAUGGGGCUUGACUCGCUAACUGAUCAGCUCCGUGAUUCUCUUUCUUCUCUUGAGGCCAAUAAGCCUGAUUUCCGUGAACUCGAUCUGGGCUCUCCCGUUUCUCCUCUCCGAACUCGUGGACUUAACACUACCGCCACCACCACCACCACCACCACUACCAGCUCUAGUUCUAGCUCCUCUGGAUCCGUUUCCGGCAGCCGAAAUGGGCACAACCCAGUUCUCAAAUCCGGUCAUUCUGGCGAGCUUUGUAGCUCCAGCGAAACCUGUCCUCCAACUUCUUUCAGAAAUUCCAAACAGGGUACCACCAGAUCCGACCCUUUAAUCUACUCGGCCGGCGGCAGUCAGAGCUCGGUGAACUCUCCUGCACCUGUUAAUGUACUUCCCGCCGGGAACAUCUGUCCGUCGGGAAGGAUCUUAAAGCCAGGUAUGGCAAUGACCAGCCGGAGUUCCAAGACGGACGUUUUAGGUUCGGGAACGGGAAAUUACGGGCACGGGAGUAUAAUGCGGGGCGGAGGAACGACUAAAUGCAGUAAUUUGGAUGCGGGAAAUUCGUUGAGUAGCAGUACUAGUACUGUCCGUGGAAGUGUUGGUGGCGCAAGGAUGGGGGGAGUGGAUCCAGAGGAGUUGAAGAGGGCCGGGAAUGAAAUGCAUAAGAAAGGCCAUUUUGGGGAAGCAGUAGUGUUGUAUGACAAGGCUAUAGCUUUGGCACCGGGGAAUGCAGCUUACAGAAGUAACCGGGCGGCGGCUUUGAUGGGUUUGGGAAGAGUAGCAGAGGCAGUGAGGGAGUGUGAGGAGGCAGUAAUGUUGGAUCCUAAUUAUUGGAGGGCACAUCAGAGGUUGGGAUCUUUGUUUAUUAGGUUAGGACAGAUAGAGAAUGCCAGGAGGCACCUAUGCUUUCCAGGGCAUCAUACAGAUCCUUCUGAAUUGCAGAAGUUGCAGUUGGUAGAGAAGCAUCUGAACAAAUGUUCAGAUGCCCGAAAGGUUAACGAUUGGAAAAAUGUGUUAAGGGAAAGUGAAGCUGCUAUUGCUGCUGGAGCUAACUAUUCUCCCCAGCUCUUUAUGUGUAAAGCUGAAGCUCUUUUGAAGCUCCACCAACUCGAAGGUGCCCAAUCAUGCUUAUCAAAUAUUCCAAAAUUGGAACCAUAUAGCAACUCUUGCUCACAGAGCAGGUUUUUUGGGAUGCUUUCUGAAGCUUACACUUUCUUAGUUCAAGCACAGAUUGAGAUGUCUAUGGGAAGGUUUGAGAAUGCAGUUACAGCUGCUGAGAAAGCUGGACAGAUUGAUCCACAGAAUGGCGAAGUGUCAAUGCUGCUUCACAAUGUGAGAUUGGUGGCAAGAGCUCGUGCACGUGGCAAUGAUCUCUUCAAAUCUGAGAGGUACACUGAAGCUUGCUCAGCAUAUGGGGAAGGCUUGAGGCUAGAUCCUUUGAACUCUGUUCUCUAUUGCAACAGAGCUGCUUGUUGGUUUAAGCUUGGAAUGUGGGAGAGGUCUAUUGAUGACUGCAACCAAGCGUUGCACAUACAACCUAAUUAUGCUAAAGCUCUUCUUCGAAGAGCUGCCUCAAAUAGCAAGCUAGAAAGGUGGGCUGAUGCAGUGAGGGAUUAUGAGAUUCUGAACAGGGAACUUCCGGAUGACAAUGACGUUGCUGAAUCUCUAUUUCAUGUGCAAGUUGCAUUGAAGAAAUCACGUGGAGAAGAAGUGUAUAAUAUGAAGUUUGGUGGUGAAGUGGAGGAAGUAUUGGGACUUGAGCAAUUCAGAGUUGCUAUAUCUCUCCCUGUUUUAUGUCACAGGCAUCUCAGUAGUUCAUUUCAAAACAUCCUCUAAUUUGCACUGCAAACAAAUAUCUCCGUUUGUGGAUACCCUAUGCGGUCGCUAUCCAUCCAUAAACUUUCUCAAGGUGAAUAUUGAAAACAUCCCAGCAGUUGCAGAUGCUGAAAAUGUGAAGAUUGUACCAACAUUCAAGAUCUACAAGAAUGGCAGUCGAGUGAAGGAGAUUGUUUGCCCAAGCUGUGAUAUGUUAGAACACUCGGUGAGGCAUUAUAGCUUUUAAAACUCAUGGCUCCACAUGUACUACUAUUCUCCCAGUUUUCUCAUUUCCUUCUUUCUAAGCCAAAACCCCAUUUGAUGGGAACCCUUUACUGCCCUCCAAGCUUUCCUCCCACCUCGUAAGGAUUACCAGAUACCUGUCACAUAAACCAGAGUUACAAAAUAAUCCAUUAGCGGCCAUUGCCAGAGGAACCCAGAUAGAUAGCUUAGUUUCUCCUCUAGCUGUUAUAAUUUAUUCAUUCAUUCCUCAUUGCUCUCUGGUUCCAUGUUCUUCCUCCCAUCACUUUUUGUUAUUACAAAUUAUAUGCUCUUUGCAAUUUUUUUUCUUUCCAUUUUCUUGUAGGCCAGCCUGUUCUUGUAUCCCCCACUUUCUUUCACAGGAAAAAAGAAAAGUAAAGGAAAAAAGAUCUGUACAAUUGAUUAGGGAGAUUUCCUAGUUUGAGAGAGACUAGCAGGCUGGGAUCUUGUACAUGUAUAUAUAUAUAUGUGAUAUAUACAGAAAGAAAUGGACAGCUUGCGGGAGAUUGGAUUCCUGGUGGGUACUUAUGGGUUAGUGAAAAAAAUGAUAAAUCUGUUGUUUAAUUAAUAUUGUUGUUUCUUUCCUCAACCAUUUCAUUUCAUCAAUAAAAAAAAAUCCCCAUUUUUUUUUCC